AUUCCUCUGAAUGAAUAAAUAAAGGGGAAUCUGUAGUGUAGAUAGAGCAGGAAAUUUAUAGAAUAAGAAUGAAUGUAACUUGGUGUAAUGUAAAAGCAUUUCUUCUUGUGUGGGGUAUGGAAAAUUACUAAGGUGAAAUAUUGGGAGAGCAUUUGCCCGUUUGAAGGCUGCCACACCCAUCUGGCCCUGCCAGAUGUGGGGGGCUGCACCCAGCAACCGUGGUAACGAAAUAAUCUUGCCACACAAGAGGUUCCCCCACCCUUCUGUGGCCAGUCGAUACUGAUAACCUAGGACACCUGGUUAUCGGAAGGAUCAAACGAGGGGCAAUUUUGAACUGGCAUAAAAGAGGUGGCUGAAGCAGGGCAGUUAUCUCACUUCUCACAAUGGCUCUGGCACCAGGCCUCCGUGGAAAGAGAGAUCCUCCUAGCCUGCCUCCCGAAAAGCAGCAAUACUGAAUGCCUUGCCUAAACAUUUAAUGCUCUGUCUCCCGAGCACAGAGUUUUGUCUCCCGAAAACAGACAUUUAACACCUUGCAUCCCGAAUGCAAAUCCUCAUUCCAUGAGAGUGGACAUUGAAGGUCUGUCUCCCGAGAACAGACUAGAUACUCUGCCUUUCAGAAUGCUUUGCCAUCCCGAAAGCAAAGCUUUGUUUUCUGAGCAGACAGAACGCUUUGCCAUCCCGAGAGCAAAGCUUCAUCUUCGAGAGUGGAGAACUAAAAGCCUUGUCUCCCGAGACUCGGUCGCCCAAAAGCCGAGUCCAAGGCACUACCAGAUACCAGCCUGGAACAUCAGGACCUUAUCUCCCGAGUGCAGACUACAGGGUCAAGAGUCGAUCUUCGCUACCCAGCCCCCAGUGCGGACAAGAGCCCAGCCUGAAAAAAUUCAAAAAAGCCCUUUUUAAGCCAGGGAAUAUCAGGUCGUAUGAUGCUAUUUCAUGUGUGUAUAAGAUGUUAAGAGAAGAGCAUAGAUGUGUUAAUACAUAUGUUAAUGUGUGAAAUGUUAAGAGAUAUUUUAUGGAUAAUUGAUCAGAUUAGGAAAUAAUGGAUAAGCUAAGGUUAAGGAGUGUUUUAUAGAUAAUUAAUGGAUAAGUUGUAUUAAGGUUAUAGAUAAGUAAUGGCUGAGUUGUAUUAAGGUUAAGAUAAGUUAGAUUAAGGUUAUGAAUUGGUUUUAUGUAUUAGGUUUAGUAGGAUUAAUAAUUGUGAUAUUGAAUUGCCUGUGUGUUGCCCAUUAUCAAUCCCCCAUGCCUACUGAGAUUGUAACCCCCAUUGAUGCAUUGGAUAUUGAAGUUGCUAGUAAAGAAUCAUCAUAAAAUCAA